GCAAACUUGGUCAUUUAGAGGAAGUAAAAGUCGUAACAAGGUUUCCGUAGGUGAACCUGCGGAAGGAUCAUUAUUGAAUUAUGUUUCUAGAUGGGUUGUAGCUGGCUCUUUGGAGCAUGUGCACACCUGUUUGGACUUCAUUUUCAUCCACCUGUGCACCUAUUGUAGUCUUUGUCAGGAAUUGAGGAAGUGGUCAGCUUAUCAGCACUUGCUGGAUGUGAGGACUUGCAGUGUGAAAGCAUUGCUGUCCUUUACUUGGCCAUGGAGUCAUUUUCCCUGUCAGAGUCUAUGUCAUUCAUUAUACCCUAUAGAAUGUCAUUGAAUGUCUUCACAUGGGCUUAUAUGCCUAUGAAAAAUUGUAAUACAACUUUCAGCAACGGAUCUCUUGGCUCUCGCAUCGAUGAAGAACGCAGC
rnacentral:misc_RNA from 1 species